rnacentral:rRNA from 1 species
AUACGUAGGGGGCGAGCGUUAUCCGGAUUUAUUGGGCGUAAAGCGUGUGUAGGCGGUUUGUUAAGUUUAAGAUUAAAGCCCGAGGCUUAACCUCGGUUCGUCUUAAAAACUGGCAGACUUGAGUGCAGUAGAGGAGAGGGGAAUUUCUAGUGUAGCGGUUAAAUGCGUAGAUAUUAGAAGGAACACCAGUGGCGAAGGCGGCUUGCUGGGCUGUUACUGACGCUGAGACACGAAAGCGUGGGGAGAAAAUAGGAUUAGAUCCCCUAGUAGUCCACGCCGUAAACGAUGAGUACUAAGUGUCGGGUAACCGGUGCUGAAGUUAACACAUUAAGUACUCCGCCUGAGUAGUACGGUCGCAAGGCUGAAACUCAAAUGAAUUGACGGGG